rnacentral:rRNA from 1 species
GACGAACCGUCCAAACGUUAUUCGGAAUUACUGGGCUUAAAGGGUGCGUAGGCGGCGCGGAAAGUUGGGUGUGAAAUCCCUCGGCUCAACCGAGGAACUGCGCCCAAUACUACCGUGCUUGAGGGAGAUAGAGGUGAGCGGAACUUAGGGUGGAGCGGUGAAAUGCGUAGAGAUGUGGAGGAAUACCGAUGGCGAAGGCAGCCCCCUGGGAUGAUACUGACGCUCAUGCACGAAAGCGUGGGGAGCAAACAGG